rnacentral:misc_RNA from 1 species
GAUGAAGAACGUAGCGAAAUGCGAUAAGUAAUGUGAAUUGCAGAAUUCAGUGAAUCAUCGAAUCUUUGAACGCACAUUGCGCCCCUUGGUAUUCCGAGGGGCAUGCCUGUUCGAGCGUCAUUACACCACUCAAGCUAUGCUUGGUAUUGGGCGUCGUCCUUGGUUGGGCGCGCCUUAAAGACCUCGGCGAGGCCACUCCGGCUUUAGGCGUAGUAGAAUUUAUUCGAACGUCUGUCAAAGGAGAGGAACUCUGCCGACUGAAACCUUUAUUUUUCUAGGUUGACCUCGGAUCAGGUAGGGAUACCCGCUGAACUUAAGCAUAUCAAUAAGCGGAGGA